AGUAAUUCUAGGGCUAAUACAUGAACUAAAAGAGGAGCAACUUAGAAGUGUUUCUCUGUAUUUAUUAGACUGAAAACUGGUACAGUAGCAAUACUGGCCCCUGGUUGAACCAUAAUAACUCUAUUACGAAUCGUAUGACCUCUGCGUCGACGAUGAAUCGUUCAAGUUUCUGACCUAUCAAUUCAAGAAGGUAGUGUAUUGGACCACCUUGAUUGUAACGGGUACGGAGAAUUAGGGUUCGAUUCCGGAGAGGGAGCCUGAGAAACGGCUACCACUUCCAAGGAAGGCAGCAGGCGCGCAAAAUUACCCCAAUCUCAACACGAGGAGGUAGUGAAUAAAAAUAACAAUCCAGAGCUUGAUAAAAGUUUUGGAAUUGGAAUGAGAACAAUGUAAAUACCUUAACGAGGAACAAUUGGAGGGCAAGUCUGGUGCCAGCAGCCGCGGUAAUUCCAGCUCCAAUAGCGUAUGCU
rnacentral:rRNA from 1 species